rnacentral:rRNA from 1 species
UACGGAGGGUGCAAGCGUUGUUCGGAAUCACUGGGCGUAAAGGGCGCGUAGGUGGCCUGUGGAAGUCUGCGGUGAAAGCCCGGCGCUCAACGCCGGGUCGGCCGUGGAUACUCUCGGGCUUGAGCUUACUAGAGGCAGAUGGAAUUCCGGGUGUAGCGGUGGAAUGCGUAGAGAUCCGGAAGAACACCGGUGGCGAAGGCGGUCUGCUGGGGUAAUGCUGACACUGAUGCGCGACAGCGUGGGGAGCAAACAGG